UCCUCUCUUCUUCCUGCUCUCUGCCUAGAACCUGACAUGAUGGCUGGGGCUCCUGCAGCCAUCUCAGGCCAUGAUACAACCUUGGUGUUGGAAGCCCUGCACUAAGGAUGGCAGAGCGGAAAGACCAGCCCUAGACUGUCCCCUCUAGAUUUCUUUUCAUAAUAGAAAAAAAUUUCUACUGGUUUAAGCCACUGCUAUUUCUGUUCCAGCUGCUUAACAGAAUUCCUAACUGAUAUAUGAAUAAAUCAAUUAAAUGUAGCUUUCUUAAAUUAUUCAUUGCUGACCUACAGUUCGCAAGGCCAAUCACCACCUCUAACUUCUGGUCUUUGUAACGAAAGGAUAAUUUAUUAUUAUGUUACAAAGAACUAUUGUUCACCAGAGGUCAGGAGAAGGGAAGGACGGAAGCACUAGAAGGAAGAGGUAGUUCAAGGAGGAGGAGACGCUGAAAAGAUGAGGGAUAGUUCCAGUCCUAGGCACACUGGGAACCGUGGCUUAGGUGCAGACAUGGCCAAGUCCAAGAACCACACCACACACAACCAGUCCCGAAAAUGGCACAGAAAUGGUAUCAAGAAACCCCGAUCACAAAGAUACGAAUCUCUUAAGGGGGUGGACCCCAAGUUCCUGAGGAACAUGUGCUUUGCCAAGAAGCACAACAAGAAGGGCCUAAAGAUGAUACAGGCCAACAAUGCCAAGGCCAUGAGUGCACGUGCCGAGGCCAUCAAGGCCCUCGUAAAGCCCAAGGAGGUUAAGCCCAAGAUCCCAAAGGGUGUCAGCUGCAAGCUCGAUUGACUUGCCUACAUUGCCCACCCCAAGAUUGGGAAGUGUGCUCGUGCACGCAUUGCCAAGGGGCUCAGGCUCUGCCAGCCAAAGGUCAAGGCCAAGGCCAAGGCCAAGGAUCAAACCAAGUCCCAGGCUGCAGCUCCAGCUUCAGUUCCAGCUCAGGCUCCCAAAGGUGCCCAGGCCCCUACAAAGGCUUCAGAGUAGAUAUCUCUGUCUGCCAACGUGAGGACAGAAGGACUGGUGCAACCCCCCCGGGGCUGCCAUCUGCAGGGGGCUGGGGUCCUCCUGUGCUAUUUGUACAAAUAAACCUGAGGGAGGAAAAAAAAAAAAAAAA